AUUGAACGCUGGCGGCAGGCCUAACACAUGCAAGUCGAACGGUAGCACAGAGAGCUUGCUCUCGGGUGACGAGUGGCGGACGGGUGAGUAACGUCUGGGAAACUGCCCGAUGGAGGGGGAUAACUACUGGAAACGGUAGCUAAUACCGCAUAACGUCGCAAGACCAAAGUGGGGGACCUUCGGGCCUCACACCAUCGGAUGUGCCCAGAUGGGAUUAGCUAGUAGGUGGGGUAAUGGCUCACCUAGGCGACGAUCCCUAGCUGGUCUGAGAGGAGGGCCAGACCCACUGGAACGGAGACACGGUCCAGACUCCGACGGGAGGCAGCAGUGGGGAAUAGUGCACAAUGGGCGCAAGCCUGAUGCGGCCAUGCCGCGUGUAUGAAGAAGGCCUUCGGGUUGUAAAGUACUUUCAGCGGGGAGGAAGGCGGUGAAGUUAAUAACUUCACCGAUUGACGUUACCCGCAGAAGAAGCACCGGCUAACUCCGUGCCAGCAGCCGCCGCGG
rnacentral:rRNA from 1 species